rnacentral:rRNA from 1 species
GAUGAACGCUGGCGGCGUGCCUAAUACAUGCAAGUCGAGCGAACGGACGAGAAGCUUGCUUCUCUGAUGUUAGCGGCGGACGGGUGAGUAACACGUGGAUAACCUACCUAUCAGACUGGGAUAACUUCGGGAAACCGGAGCUAAUACCGGAUAAUAUUAUGAACCGCAUGGUUCAAAAGUGAAAGACGGUCUUGCUGUCACUUAUAGAUGGAUCCGCGCUGCAUUAGCUAGUUGGUAAGGUAACGGCUUACCAAGGCAACGAUGCAUAGCCGACCUGAGAGGGUGAUCGGCCACACUGGAACUGAGACACGGUCCAGACUCCUACGGGAGGCAGCAGUAGGGAAUCUUCCGCAAUGGGCGAAAGCCUGACGGAGCAACGCCGCGUGAGUGAUGAAGGUCUUCGGAUCGUAAAACUCUGUUAUUAGGGAAGAACAUAUGUGUAAGUAACUGUGCACAUCUUGACGGUACCUAAUCAGAAAGCCACGGCUAACUACGUG